rnacentral:ncRNA from 4 species
CAGAGUUCAUGCCCGAAAGGGUAGACCUCCCACCCUUGUGUAUUAUUACUUUGUUGCUUUGGCGAGCUGCCUUCGGGCCUUGUAUGCUCGCCAGAGAAUACCAAAACUCUUUUUAUUAAUGUCGUCUGAGUACUAUAUAAUAGUUA